AGUUUUUCCGUUAGAUGUCAGCAGUGUUCCUUACUAACUCAGUGGGUUCUGCGCACCUGUUUAGUGUGUGCUGAUCUACGGUUGGAUAUACUGUGAGUAUAGAACAGAACCCGCAUGGGUCUUCUUUAGAUUAAGUUUAGAGUUUAGGUGAG